rnacentral:rRNA from 1 species
AAAUUGAAGAGUUUGAUCAUGGCUCAGAUUGAACGCUGGCGGCAGGCCUAACACAUGCAAGUCGAACGGUAACAGGAAACAGCUUGCUGUUUCGCUGACGAGUGGCGGACGGGUGAGUAAUGUCUGGGAAACUGCCUGAUGGAGGGGGAUAACUACUGGAAACGGUAGCUAAUACCGCAUAACGUCGCAAGACCAAAGAGGGGGACCUUCGGGCCUCUUGCCAUCGGAUGUGCCCAGAUGGGAUUAGCUUGUUGGUGGGGUAACGGCUCACCAAGGCGACGAUCCCUAGCUGGUCUGAGAGGAUGACCAGCCACACUGGAACUGAGACACGGUCCAGACUCCUACGGGAGGCAGCAGUGGGGAAUAUUGCACAAUGGGCGCAAGCCUGAUGCAGCCAU